rnacentral:ncRNA from 1 species
UUAAAAACUGUGAAGGAAACAAGACGGUUACCGUGAGUUUCAGAGAGCUGCCGUGUGGUGAAAGGCAGUACCAAGUAUCCGUGUAUAACUCGUUCCGGAGUUUCAUAGCUGAAGUCAUAGGCUGUGACGGCAGACACCGUUAUAUGUCAGGUCUUGUUGGAGACCGCAGAGGGCAGCCUCGGCUGCCGAAUUAGGGUGGUACAGCGUGGUUUUUACUUCGCCCCUAUC